rnacentral:rRNA from 1 species
UACGUAGGGGGCUAGCGUUGUCCGGAAUCAUUGGGCGUAAAGCGCGUGUAGGCGGUUCGGUAAGUCCGCUGUGAAAGUCGGGGGCUCAACCCUCGAAAGCCGGUGGAUACUGUCGGACUAGAGUGCGGAAGAGGAGAGUGGAAUUCCUGGUGUAGCGGUGAAAUGCGCAGAUAUCAGGAAGAACACCCGUGGCUAAGGCGGCUCUCUAGUACGGUACUGACGCUGAGACGCGAAAGCGUGGGGAGCAAACAGG